rnacentral:rRNA from 1 species
UCUGUAGCAAUACAGAUGGCGCACGGCGCACGGGUGCGUAACACGUGGGUAAUCUGCCCUUCGAUGGGGAAUAACUCCGGGAAACCGAAGCUAAUUCCGCAUAACAUUCCUUGAACCUCGGUUUGGGGACUCAAAGCCGUAAGGCGUCGGAGGAGGAACCCGCGCACGAUUAGCUAGUUGGUAGGGUAACGGCCUACCAAGGCUUUGAUCGUUAGCUGGUCUGAGAGGAUGGCCAGCCACACUGGAACUGAGACACGGUCCAGACUCCUACGGGAGGCAGCAGUGGGGAAUCUUGCACAAUGGGCGAAAGCCUGAUGCAGCGACGCCGCGUGGGGGAUGAAGCUUUUCGGAGUGUAAACCCCUUUCGACCCGGACGAAUACCUCGCAAGAGGGGUGACGGUACGGGUAUAAGAAGCCCCGGCUAACUACGUGCCAGCAGCCGCGGUAAGACGUGGGGGGCCAGCGUUGUUCGGAAUUACUGGGUGUAAAGGGUCAGUAGGCGGUGUGGCAAGUCGGGAGUGAAAUCUCUGGGCUCAACCCAGAGACUGCUUCCGAAACUGCUGUGCUAGAGUGUGGGAGAGGCGCGUGGAAUUGCAGGUGUAGCGGUGAAAUGCGUAGAUAUCUGCAGGAACACCCGUGGCGAAAGCGGCGCGCUGGACCACAACUGACGCUGAAUGACGAAAGCUAGGGGAGCAAACAGGAUUAGAUACCCUGGUAGUCCUAGCCCUAAACGAUCAGGACUUGGGGUGCCGCACGUUCGUGCGUCGUCCCGGAGCUAACGCGUUAAGUCCUGCACCUGGGGAGUACGGUCGCAAGACUGAAACUC